rnacentral:rRNA from 1 species
AAUGAACGCUGGCGGCAUGCCUAACACAUGCAAGUCGAACGAAGGCUUCGGCCUUAGUGGCGCACGGGUGCGUAACGCGUGGGAAUCUGCCCCUUGGUUCGGAAUAACAGUUAGAAAUGACUGCUAAUACCGGAUGAUGACGUAAGUCCAAAGAUUUAUCGCCGAGGGAUGAGCCCGCGUAGGAUUAGCUAGUUGGUGUGGUAAGAGCGCACCAAGGCGACGAUCCUUAGCUGGUCUGAGAGGAUGAUCAGCCACACUGGGACUGAGACACGGCUCAGACUCCUACGGGAGGCAGCAGUGGGGAAUAUUGGACAAUGGGCGAAAGCCUGAUCCAGCAAUGCCGCGUGAGUGAUGAAGGCCUUAGGGUUGUAAAGCUCUUUUACCCGGGAUGAUAAUGACAGUACCGGGAGAAUAAGCUCCGGCUAACUCCGU